AGGGUUUUAAGUUAAAUAAACUAAUGGCCUUCAAAGCUAUAAAUAUAAGGGAUAAACUUUUAAACCCUA
rnacentral:tRNA from 1 species